GGUCAAGUCCUACGCAACAAGAAAUUUCCGAACCCCGCCAGGUCCGGAAGGAAGCAACGGUAGGAAGUCAAUCUUGUGUGACGUGGGGUAGCUUGACCUCU
rnacentral:SRP_RNA from 1 species